UACGUAGGGCGCAAGCGUUGUCCGGAAUUAUUGGGCGUAAAGAGCUUGUAGGCGGUUUGUCGCGUCUGCUGUGAAAUCUCAAGGCUCAACCUUGAGCUUGCAGUGGGUACGGGCAGACUAGAGUGUGGUAGGGGAGACUGGAAUUCCUGGUGUAGCGGUGAAAUGCGCAGAUAUCAGGAGGAACACCGAUGGCGAAGGCAGGUCUCUGGGCCACUACUGACGCUGAGAAGCGAAAGCAUGGGGAGCGAACAGG
rnacentral:rRNA from 1 species